CCUACGGGAGGCAGCAGUGGGGAAUAUUGGUCAAUGGACGAGAGUCUGAACCAGCCAAGUAGCGUGAAGGAUGACUGCCCUAUGGGUUGUAAACUUCUUUUAUAUGGGAAUAAAACGUUCCACGUGUGGGAUUUUGUAUGUACCAUCUGAAUAAGGAUCGGCUAACUCCGUGCCAGCAGCCGCGGUAAUACGGAGGAGCCGAGCGUUAUCCGGAUUUAUUGGGUUUAAAGGGAGAGUAGGUGGAUUGUUAAGUCAGUUGUGAAAGUUUGCGGCUCAACCGUAAAAUUGCAGUUGAAACUGGCAGGCUUGAGUACAGUAGAGGUGGGCGGAAUUCGUGGUGUAGCGGUGAAAUGCUUAGAUAUCACGAAGAACUCCGGUUGCGAAGGCAGUUCACUGGACUGCAACUGACACUGAGGCUCGAAAGUGUGGGUAUCAAACAGGAUUAGAUACCCGAGUAGUC
rnacentral:rRNA from 1 species